UGAAGAAGCCGCCAUCAAAAGACCGCCACACCAAAGUCGACGGCCGCGGCCGUCGGAUCCGGAUGCCGAUCAUCUGUGCUGCCCGAGUCUUCCAGCUCACUCGCGAACUCGGGCACAAAUCCGACGGACAAACCAUCGAGUGGCUACUCCGCCACGCCGAGCCUUCGAUUAUUGCAGCCACCGGCACAGGCUCCACUCCCG
rnacentral:misc_RNA from 1 species